UAAAAGCGUUUGCUAACAAUUUUUUUCUUCACAAAGCAAUUCAAAUCUGCAAUUUGUUUUGGUUGUCAAAUAAAAUAUUUUGUUUUUUAACAAAAUGAAAAUUUUGUUAAUUAGCAGUCCAUUGAUUUUUAUUUUAGUGAUAUGUUUACAAAAAAUAGAAGGAAAAAUGAAUUUUGACCAAUUAGUCAAAGCCGGAAAGCCAGUUGGUAAAAAUUGUCAAAGACAAACUGGAUGUCCCAUGGAUCUGAUCAAUAAUGCAAAAUUAAAAGGAGAAUUUCCACCAGUACCGGAACUCCAGUGUUACUUCAAAUGUCUGUUUGUAGCAAUGAGUAUUAUUAAAAACGACAAAAUUUCAGAAGAUUCCUUGAAUUCUCAAAUGGCGGUAAUGCUUACGGAAGAGUUGGCUGGGAGAUUAAAAGGAUUGGCUGCAGUUUGUAUCCCUGAAGUCUUUUUUCAGCAACAAGUUUAGAUAUUUGUGAAGCUGCUUAUCAAUUUACUGUAUGUGGCUACAAAUACGAUCCCUCGCUCUAUUUCUUUCCAUAAACAAUAAAGAAAUCGCCUAACUGGAUUCAAUAAAAUUGUAUAUAUACAACUAAUCAACAAAAGGCUGUAAAAGACAAAAAAAAAAGAAAUUAUUUAAAGUACUUGUAGUAUUUAUUACAAUAAUUUUAUCAAUAACAAGGCUCAUCCGCUAAUUGACUAUAUUGAUAUAGUAAAAAAGAGAAUGUAUAAUGUUUUGAAUAAAAAAAUAGUUUGAGACGAUUUUAUUUAUAAAA